UUAUCAGUGAACUAUCUAGACGCGGAGGGAAUUCCUGACAAUGAACUUGAAGAUGUCACAGUAACCACCAAAGGUACACUCUUCAUAUCCGAGAAUCAUGAAGGAGGUCGCGGGAUUGUAGGCAGUGUGCCAUGGAAGGAUUUCUUGAGCACAGUGAAGCGGUUGUAUAUCUUUGCUCGCCCAUGAAGCUAGAGCACCAGUGGUGGGAACUUGGAACAGAAAGGAAGACUCGUCGAUGAGUUGAAUAACAACGGAUUCGUUCGAACGGAACUAUGCCUGAUAUGGUGG